AGCAGCCGCGGUAAUUCCAGCUCCAAUAGCGUAUAUUAAAGUUGUUGCAGUUAAAAAGCUCGUAGUUGAAUUUUGGGUCUAGCCGGGCGGUCCGCCCUCUGGGUGAGCACUGUUCCGACGCCGGGCCUAUCCUUCUGGUGAGUCGGCAUGUCCUUUGUUGGGUGUGUCGGGGAACCAGGACCAUUACCUUGAAAAAAUUAGAGUGUUCAAAGCAGGCGUAUGCUCGGAUACAUUAGCAUGGAAUAAUGAAAUAGGACGCGUGGUGCUAUUUUGUUGGUUUCUAGAACCGCCGUAAUGAUUAAUAGGGAUAGUUGGGGGCAUUAGUAUUCAAUUGUCAGAGGUGAAAUUCUUGGAUUUAUUGAAGACUAACUUCUGCGAAAGCAUUUGCCAAGGAUGUUUUCAUUAAUCAAGAACGAAAGUUAGGGGAUCGAAGACGAUCAGAUACCGUCGUAGUCUUAACCAUAAACUAUGCCGACUAGGAAUCGGGCGAUGUUAUUCUCAUGACUCGCCCGGCGCCUUAUG
rnacentral:rRNA from 1 species